rnacentral:rRNA from 1 species
GGGGCAACGGUAGGUCAGCAUGCCCCGAAUUAUCCGGGCUACACGCGGGCUACAAUGGUCAGGACAAUGGGCAUCAACACCGAAAGGUGAAGGCAAUCUCUUAAACCUGUCCUUAGUUCGGAUUGUGGGCUGCAACUCGCCCACAUGAAGCUGGAAUCUGUAGUAAUCGCGUCUCCAAAAUGGCGCGGUGAAUAUGUCCCCGCUCCUU